rnacentral:lncRNA from 9 species
AUGCGCGGUGGCUCUGCUCCGGGGACCAGGGGAGGCAGUCUCUGGGGCGGCAGUGGGGGCCCCCGGGCGCCCGGACCUGCCGCCGCACCUGCCGCCGGCCCCCGAGCCCGGUUCCGGACCCACUGCCCCGGGCGGGCGGCGGGCGCGGGAGGCGGGUGCGGGGAGAGCGCGGCUGCAACUCGGCCGCGAGUGGCCGGGAGGCGCAGUGGAGCGAGGAGCGGAAAGGGACGCGGGGAGCGGAAGGACCCUACGGGACGGGACGGAGCAGGGCGAGCAGGGGCUGGAGGGGAGACGGGGAGUGGAAGGCGGAGGGCGCCCGGAGAAGGGCGAGGACCGUGGCCAGGGCAGCGGGACGCCCGUCCAAAGAGCCCCGCGGACGGAGGGCAGCACGCCGCUGGGGGCCGUUUGGAUGCCCUCAGCUGGAGAUCCUUUGAACUCAGUUACAUCCGCGGAGAGAGGAAUCAAGAUGGCAGAGGAGCAGGACGCAGGGCCCACCUCCUCCGACGGGCGCUUCCACGAGCCGUCGGCGUGGGGAGCAGACCUCACAGGAUGCCUUCCUGAAUGUGGCAGGAGACCUCCCACUCCCAGAAGUGCAAGAAAGAGAGGUAGGACAAAAGGAGAACAGGAGGGAUUGGGAGGGGACCUGUGGCCCCGGAAAGGAGCCUUGAAAGGGGCCAGGUUAAUUCCUCAAGGGCAUCAGGACGUCACGUCCACCAGGACUGAGGGGGAGCUUCAGAGGCUCUGAGAGGCAGCGCUGGUCUGCGGCAGGCAGAGCGGAGAGAGGCGGGCACCCACAGUCCUGCCUCCGCCCUGCCCUUCGCACAUCUGAUGGGAGCUUUGGGGUUUGGGGGCUGAGGCUCAAGCUCCAGGACAGACCGGGGGAGAUGCGCCGAGACCGCCAGGAGGGGCUCGAGUGGGGCUUACGUGGGAACCCCACAGACCGGGCCGCAAACCCACCGCCUCUGAUUGAAAUCACACACCUGCUGUCGGGAGCUAACGAGGCUCAGGUUCUUUGUGUCUCAGCAGAGAAGGAAUUCCGGGAGAGGCGAAGUGAUGGGGAAGGUAGAUGUAACGGGAGAGACGGACGUAGAGGACGCGGUCCGUCUCAAAAGACGAGAGCGGCCCGAAAUUGGGGUGGUUAAUUUUCCGGCCUGAGUAAUUUCAUGGCCUCAGGAGUGGGAGGGUUAUUCCAAAUAUUUGGGGGAAGGAAGUGGGGUGGGGUUCCAGGACUUGGGCCACCACCCGCUUUUUGGCCUUUUGAUAUUGGCCUUGGAACUGUCGUGGCGCCUGUGGCGUGUCAUUUAGCCGAUGUGUUUGUUACAGUGAGUGUGUAAUGAGGCUCAGGGGUCCGAGGCAGUCAAGUCUUCCACCGUCUUGGGCUUCAUCGGUUCUAACCAGUUUAUGUCAUGUCCUCAAGGGUGGGUCAUUCUUUUGAAGGGCUGCCCCUUCCCUCCUGUCUCAGUACAGGCUGCCACUGGGGUGUGCGCGGAAGAAGCCAUAGGAGGGACAUUGCCAAGGGCGCGUGAAGGGAGGCAGCAUUUCUUGGGAGCCGGACAGCAGGCGCUCCAGUGGCUGGGGUGGGUCUGGCCUUAGCAGCCGUGGGCUUUGGGGGAGUGUGCACACAAGGCCAGGGCCAGAGUCUGGGCUGUUUCCAUAGCUCCCACGGUGGGUCUCCUUGCAUCACUACCGCCAUCCCGGUACCUGACUUCAGUGGAUUGGCGCCCAAGGUUCUGUGCUGGUGGCUUUGUGAACAUACUGCCUGGGGGACACCAGGGCCAGUUGCCUGCAUUCCCACAGUGGAGGUGCGCUGAGGGCAGUGCCAACAAGUGUGUUUGGUGAGCCCACACAGCACGUGGCGGGUGACACUACAGAGCACAGUCCUGGUGUACAGCUCAGAGGCUCCUCUCCCAGCGGGAGGGCUCCUGUCCCACCUAAUUCACACUGCAGCUCAGAAACAGAUCUGGGGGCUCCUCUGCCAACAACGAGGGAGCAGACCCUGCCCCUGCCAGGGCAGUGACAACCACAGAGCUAAUAGAAGGACCCCCCUCGAUAUCCAGCACAGGCUGUGGUCACCACGGUGUCACUCCCACGCCUGUCAAGGGAAGAACGUCCAGCACACGCUGAGGGAAGAGACAGCAGGUCUCUCUGCUGAAAACAGCCCUCGCACCCAAAAUAGUAAACCCACACGGGUGGCACAGGGGUGCUCCCACAUAAAAAUAGCCCUCCAGGAUCACAGUAGGUAAUUGUUUCUCCUAAACUCAUAGAGUAAGAGAAAUGUAACUAAAACGAAGAAGCAGAGGAAGCCCCCCCAAUUAAAAGCGCAAGAGAAUUCCCCCCAAAGGACAAUGCCACAGACCCCUUCAGUGUGAGAGACACCAAGUUCAGAAAGGAGAUCAUGAAAAUAUCGAAGGAAUUACAGGAAUUACGAGGGGCUGUUGAUAAAAUGCAGAUUACCGUAAAAAGCAACUAGAGAAUAUAAAGAGACAUCAAGAACAAUUAGUUCAUUCACUGAGAUGAAAGCUAAGCUAACAGCAAUGAAGAGCAGAAUGAAUGCCGAAAAGCAAAUACACGACCUGGAAGAGAGACUCAGGAAGAGCAGCCAGCCAGCCAAAGGGGGGACAUGAACGUGCUCUAAGGACCUAGGGGAUACUACAAGUGUGCCAGUCUACGCAUAACGGGGAUCCCGGGAGGAGGAAAAGAGAAGCAGGUUGCAGGUGCGAUUGAAGAAGUUAUGGCUGAAAACUCUGUCGGCCUAGAGGAGGAAAGCUAUGUGCAGAUACAGGAAGCAGAGUCUCCAGUGAGAGGAACCUAAACAGACCCACACCAAGACACCCUGUAAGAAAACUGGCAACAGUUAAAGAGGGGAUCCUACAGCAGCAAGAGAAAAACAAAGAAUUAAUGACAAGGGAAGCCCCAUGGGGCUCUCUGCUGAUUUCCCCACAGCAGGCUCCCGGCCAGAAGGGAGGUGCAUGAUGCAUUCAGCGUCUUUACAGGGAACCAUCUGCAACCUAGGAUAUUCUCCCCCCAAUAUUAUCAUUUAGAAAAGAAGGAGAGAGAAAAGCAUUUCUCAGACCAGCCAAAAAUAAAAGAAUACCGCCCUACCAAACCUAUCCCCAAAACACUCUAUAGAGAAGAGAAACAAAAAUCGGUAGGAAAGAGGAAAAUCGCACUUGGCGAGUCAAUCACUUAAAUAAGCCUGCACAGAUUAAAACGUUUUGGUUGCUAAAGUAUAGUUGCUUCACAACGUUGUAUCCGAUUCUGCUGUACCGCAACCUGAGCCAGGCAUACGUAUACAUACGUUCUUUUUCUCAUAUUAUCUUCCAUCAUGUUCUAG